GGUGCCACAGUGGGCCCCUCCCACAAGUGGCCAGCUGUCAGUGAGCAACCGUUAGUGGUCCUGCUCAGCCAUUGGCUGGCGCCACAGUGGGCCCCUCCCACAAGUAACUGGCUGUCAGUGAGCAACCGUUAGUGGGUCCGUUAAGCCAGCAGUUGUCAGAGUGGUGGGCAUCCAGCAGAGAGUGAGCCAUGAUGACAGGGAAACUUGGCAUCGGCAUGGAUCCUCCCCCAAAAGUUCUGGCUCUUUUUGCUGCUGAGAUCAGAAAGCUGAGCAAGCGGACCCUAGAUCCCUGACCAGGGAUUGAACCUAUGCCCCCUGCAAUGGAAGUUUGAAGUCCUGACUACUGGACCACCGGGAAACUCCCUAAAUUUUAGCUUUACUACACAUACACUGAUUGAAUGAGAAGUCUCAGCUACACUUCAUGUCAACUGAAAUCCACAACAUGAGUUAAAACCUACAUCACUUGCAACAGCCCAUCUCAAAGAGAUAAGGACUGAAAAUGCCUGGGGCUGGUGGGUUUGGAGUUUAGGGUGUGUGUAAUUCAUUUGAGACUUUUCAAGGCUUUGGCCAUAGGAAUGAAGAGUGGGCUCUUGUUCUGCUCAGCAACCUUCAAGUUUAUUUAUUAAACCCUGCUUUGUGUCUAAUCUUUCUUUUUGUGGCCAUGCAGCAACACACCGUAAUUCUCUAAUACUGUACAGUGCCAGCAUCUUGGAGGGUUUCAGGACAGAUCCGAAGAGCCAGCAGUCUCUGCAUUGUAACAGUCAGAUGCAGGAAUCCUUGAGAGACCUGCGACUCUCUAAAGCCGGGAACUGAAGCAGUUUUUCUUUAAACAUUUAUUACAAAUACAAGCAUUAUUUGUAUUCAGCACAGACCGAAGAAAGACUAAGCAGUUGGUCCUUUUUAUUGCAGUUGAAAUCUGGCCCGAUCUGGCAACCCUUUUUAGAAUCAAACACUGAAUAAAGUUCCCAAGACAUGUGGGGAGGUGAGACAGUUUCUGUUUGUAGCACAGGGGUGUUGGGUGUGGGGGUGUCUCCUGCGUGGGCUAGACACAUGGGUCUCCAGGGGAGCUAGCAGGCUACAGGCUUACCUCACUCUUGGUUGAUGAUGGUGAAACUGAGAAUGAGGAAUGCCACAGGACUUCAUUUUUCAUUAAAUUAGGAGCACUCUAAGGUCAAAUACAGCUGUCAGAAACCCAGUUCCAACCGGCUUAAGUAAAAAAGUGAAUCUGUGGGUUCUUGGGGCUAUGAAGUGCCUGAUUCUAGCUUCAGGCAUGGCUUGAUCUAGGGGUCUUAGAUUGGAUACCUUAGAGACAGAGCUUGCAAUGGGGAUUCUUGUGCAAUGAAUUAUUGAGAAAAUGCUCUCAGGAAGAGUUGCAAGGGAAUGAAUCUGUAAGUAGGAUAGAGUGAAAGAAACAGCCAGCGAAGCCUGCUGUUUCAGCUGGAAUCUAGCUUCAGCCUGACCCCACAAGGAGCUCUGGAGUGUAGAUAACAUUACAGAGCUGUCUCACCCCACAAGGAGCUCUGGAGUGGAGAUAACAUUACAGAGCUGUCUCACCCCACAAGGAGCUCUGGAGUGGAGAUAACAUUACAGAGCUGUCUCACCCCACAAGGAGCUCUGGAGUGGAGAUAACAUUACAGAGCCGUCUCAGCCCACAAGGAGCUCUGGAGUGGAGAUAACAUUACAGAGCCGUCUCAGCCCACAAGGAGCUCUGGAGUGGAGAUCACAUUACAGAGCCGUCUCACCCCACAAGGAGCUCUGGAGUGGAGAUCACAUUACAGAGCCGUCUCACCCCACAAGGAGCUCUGGAGUGGAGAUCACAUUACAGAGCCGUCUCAGCCCACAAGGAGCUCUGGAGUGGAGAUCACAUUACAGAGCCGUCUCAGCCCACAAGGAGCUCUGGAGUGGAGAUCACAUUACAGAGCCGUCUCAGCCCACAAGGAGCUCUGGAGUGGAGAUCACAUCACAGAGCUGUCUCACCCCACAAGGAGCUCUGGAGUGGAGAUCACAUUACAGAGCUGUCUCAGCCCACAAGGAGCUCUGGAGUGGAGAUCACAUUACAGAGCCGUCUCAGCCCACAAGGAGCUCUGGAGUGGAGAUCACAUUACAGAGCCGUCUCACCCCACAAGGAGCUCUGGAGUGGAGAUAACAUUACAGAGCCGUCUCAGCCCACAAGGAGCUCUGGAGUGGAGAUCACAUUACAGAGCUGUCUCAGCCCACAAGGAGCUCUGGAGUGGAGAUCACAUUACAGAGCUGUCUCACCCCACAAGGAGCUCUGGAGUGGAGAUCACAUUACAGAGCCGUCUCAGCCCACAAGGAGCUCUGGAGUGGAGAUCACAUUACAGAGCCGUCUCAGCCCACAAGGAGCUCUGGAGUGGAGAUCACAUCACAGAGCUGUCUCACCCCACAAGGAGCUCUGGAGUGGAGAUCACAUCACAGAGCUGUCUCACCCCACAAGGAGCUCUGGAGUGGAGAUCACAUCACAGAGCUGUCUCACCCCACAAGGAGCUCUGGAGUGGAGAUCACAUCACAGAGCUGUCUCACUCUAAGGCAAGAAGCUUGGCCUUUGGUACUUUCGUAUUAGUCUGUCAUUGACUGUGUGCUGUCUCUGAAAUGGAGCACAUAACCUCCUGGGACUUUCUGGACAAAGUGACUUUCUUUGGCUAAAGGUAAUUCUCUGAAAAUUUCAACUGUGAGCUGUUAGCAAUCCUCAGUUACAGUCAGUUCUUACAGAUGGGUGCAGUCUGGUAGCGGGGAUCUGGGCAAGGUAUCAACCUUGUCUACAUCAAGGGGCUCAAGCAAUGACCUAGGGUUUCACCUCUCACCCUACUUCUGAGGUUUACUUCUUGGCUCCAUUCUCAAAUAGCAUGGGGACAAGGUGACCACCAAAGGCCCUGAGCUCUCC
ensembl:lncRNA